UACGGGGGGGGCAAGCGUUGUUCGGAAUUACUGGGCGUAAAGGGCUCGUAGGUGGCCAACUAAGUCAGACGUGAAAUCCCUCGGCUUAACCGGGGAACUGCAUCUGAUACUGGAUGGCUUGAGAUUGGGAGAGGGAUGCGGAAUUCCAGGUGUAGCGGUGAAAUGCGUAGAUAUCUGGAGGAACACCGGUGGCGAAGGCGGCAUCCUGGACCAUAACUGACACUGAUAAGCGAAAGCCAGGGGAGCAAACGGG
rnacentral:rRNA from 1 species